GGAUCAGGACCGGCUACCCCGGGAUGUUCAUAACCCUUUGUUGUCCGACUCUGUUGCCUCCGGGGCGACCCUGCCUUCGGGCGGGGGCUCCGGGUGGACACUUCAAACUCUUGCGUAACUUUGCAGUCUGAGUAAACUUAAUUAAUAAAUUAAAACUUUUAACAACGGAUCUCUUGGUUCUGGCAUCGAUGAAGAACGCAGCGAAAUGCGAUAAGUAAUGUGAAUUGCAGAAUUCAGUGAAUCAUCGAAUCUUUGAACGCACAUUGCGCCCCCUGGUAUUCCGGGGGGCAUGCCUGUUCGAGCGUCAUUUCACCACUCAAGCCUCGCUUGGUAUUGGGCAACGCGGUCCGCCGCGUGCCUCAAAUCGACCGGCUGGGUCUUCUGUCCCCUAAGCGUUGUGGAAACUAUUCGCUAAAGGGUGUUCGGGAGGCUACGCCGUAAAACAACCCCAUUUCUAAGGUUGACCUCGGAUCAGGUAGGGAUACCCGCUGAACUUAAGCAUAUCAAGCGCGAAGAAA
rnacentral:rRNA from 1 species